rnacentral:ncRNA from 2 species
CAAUCUGGUAUUUACUUUGGUGCAUGAUGCUUAAUAGGGAAGUCAGGUUUAAAUCCUGCAUGGUCCCGCCGCUGUGAGAAAAAUAAUCAAACGAACAUAGGUCACUGGAUCUUUCCGGGAAGACGUUCGUUUUUGCUUUUCAAGUCAGAAGACCUGCCAAGUAUAAAACCGUGUC